AACGGUCUAUACCUGCGGUACCUGCGGAAGGAUCAUUAACGAGUGUAACUUACCCUUUUUUUUAAAAGAGGGUAGUACCUCCUGUCCUUUGUAGGCCCCUUUUUAUUGGGGGGCUUUUUAAGACUUUCUGCUUCGGCGGGGUUAUUCCCGCCGGAACACCCUCAAAAAACUCUUCAAAAACUAAUUCAGUCCGAGAAUUUUUGAAAAUAAAAAAAACUUUUAGCAACGGAUCUCUAGAUC
rnacentral:misc_RNA from 1 species